AGAGUUUGAUCCUGGCUCAGAAUGAACGCUGGCGGCGUGCCUUACACAUGCAAGUCGAGCGAGGCGGGGUAGCAAUACCCCAGUCGAGCGGCGAACGGGUGAGUAACGCGUGGGUGACCUGCCCUGAGGUGGGGGAUAACCCGGGGAAACUCGGGCUAAUACCGCAUAACAUCUAUGGAUCAAAGGGGGCCGCAAGGCUCUCGCCGCAGGAGGGGCCCGCGUACGAUUAGCUAGUUGGCAGGGUAAUGGCCUACCAAGGCGACGAUCGUUAGCCGGCCUGAGAGGGUGAUCGGCCACACUGGAACUGAGACACGGUCCAGACUCCUACGGGAGGCAGCAGUGGGGAAUUUUGCGCAAUGGGCGAAAGCCUGACGCAGCAACGCCGCGUGGAGGAUGAAGGCCCUUGGGUUAUAAACUCCUGUCAGCGGGGAAGAAAUACUCUGACCUAAUACGUCAGAGGAUUGACUGUACCCGCAGAGGAAGCCCCGGCUAACUCUGUGCCAGCAGCCGCGGUAAUACAGAGGGGGCAAGCGUUAUUCGGAAUUAUUGGGCGUAAAGGGCGCGUAGGCGGCGAGGCAAGUGGAAGGUGAAAUCCCUCGGCUCAACUGAGGAACUGCCCUCCAAACUGCUUUGCUUGAGUCCGGGAGAGGUGAGUGGAAUUCCCAGUGUAGCGGUGAAAUGCGUAGAUAUUGGGAGGAACACCAGUGGCGAAGGCGGCUCACUGGACCGGAACUGACGCUGAGGCGCGAAAGCGUGGGGAGCAAACGGGAUUAGAUACCCCGGUAGUCCACGCUGUAAACGAUGAGUGCUUGGUGUAGCGGGUAUCGACCCCUGCUGUGCCGAAGUCAACACAUUAAGCACUCCGCCUGGGAGUACGGUCGCAAGGCUGAAACUCAAAUGAAUUGACGG
rnacentral:rRNA from 1 species